rnacentral:rRNA from 1 species
AAUGUAGGUGGUGAUGCAAGUCAGAUGUGAAAGCCCUGGGCUUAACCCGGGAAUUGCAUUUGAUACUGCGUUGCUUGAGUGCAGGAGAGGUAAGUGGAAUUCCUGGUGUAGGGGUGAAAUCCGUAGAUAUCAGGAGGAAUACCGAUGGCGAAGGCAACUUACUGGCCUGCAACUGACACUGAGAUUCGAAAGCAUGGGUAGCAAACA